UCCAUGGGUGCUGCCGAGCACA
rnacentral:misc_RNA from 1 species